GCAGUGGUGGUUCAGUGGCAGAGUUCUCAUCAUCUACGCUGGAGACCUGGGUUCGAUUCCUGGCCAAUGCG
rnacentral:tRNA from 1 species